rnacentral:rRNA from 1 species
GUGCUUAACACAUGCAAGUCGAACGGAAAGGUCUCUUCGGAGAUACUCGAGUGGCGAACGGGUGAGUAACACGUGGGUAAUCUGCCCUGCACUUCGGGAUAAGCCUGGGAAACUGGGUCUAAUACCGAAUAGGACCCCGAGGCGCAUGCCUUGGGGUGGAAAGCUUUUGCGGUGUGGGAUGGGCCCGCGGCCUAUCAGCUUGUUGGUGGGGUGACGGCCUACCAAGGCGACGACGGGUAGCCGGCCUGAGAGGGUGUCCGGCCACACUGGGACUGAGAUACGGCCCAGACUCCUACGGGAGGCAGCAGUGGGGAAUAUUGCACAAUGGGCGCAAGCCUGAUGCAGCGACGCCGCGUGGGGGAUGACGGCCUUCGGGUUGUAAACCUCUUUCACCAUCGACGAAGGUCCGGGUUUUCUCGGAUUGACGGUAGGUGGAGAAGAAGCACCGGCCAACUACGUGCCAGCAGCCGCGGUAAUACGUAGGGUGCGAGCGUUGUCCGGAAUUACUGGGCGUAAAGAGCUCGUAGGUGGUUUGUCGCGUUGUUCGUGAAAUC